ACCACAAACAUUAACUCUGCUCAACAUGCUGUCUUUAAUAACCUCUGGAUUUACUCUGCUGGUUCUGCUCAUCAGAACAGGUGUAAACUGUCAACAUCUCACUGCAGCGCAGACUGAGAUGUUCAGCCUAGAAGGCAGCUCUGUUACUCUGUCCUAUGGUUACUCCAACAAUAUAGCUGCUGGUGAUCAUUUCUUCUGGUACCGACAAUAUCCAGGAGAACCUCCAGAGUUCAUCCUGUACAUCUCAGGGCUCAACAGAUCAAGAUCAGCAGAAUCUCUGAAAUCAGCAACAAGGUUCUCCACUAAACUGACAGGAGAGAAACAUUUGGACCUGGAGAUCUCCUCUGCUGCAGUGACAGAUUCUGCUGUGUACUACUGUGCUGUGAGGCCCACAGUGACAGGAAACACCAGAACUCUGUACAAGAACCUGCAGUACUCCACAUCAUCCACUAGAGGGCCUCACACACUGUUAAACCACUGAUUGUUGAGUCUUUGGACUGAUGACAAAGACAACAGAGACAUGAAGCAGUAAAGAUCAGAGACAGAGCUGCUGUGGAAGCAGAAAACUCUGUGAUUGGUUGAGUUGAAGUGGCCCCGCCCACUGAACUUCAGCUCCUCCAAUGACAUUAUUUCUUCCUCCUUCUACUGCAGUGGAAGAACAUUGUUCAUCUGCUGUGUGUGGCUUUAAGAGCUCCAGAGACAUGUUGCUUUUCCUCUCAUGGAAUCAGGUCCAUUUCUAAACUUCCACAAAAGUGUAUUUGGAAACAAAUAGACGCCACAUCCUUCCUGCAGUUCUAAACAUUGCAAAAGAAACGAUAUUUAAGAACUGGAAGAAUAAACAAUGUUUUACGAUUUGGGGGUGUUUGAAUUUUGGUUUUGGGUUUUUCUCUUAUCUUUUGUUCUCACAGUUGAGCUUUGGAUCCUGUUUCUGUUUAUUGUUUUCAUGGUGGUGCUUUAAUUUGGUUUCUUAUGAUUGUUGUAUUCUGUUCAUAGUGCUUUCUGAUUUAUGUUCUGUUAUAGCUAUGUUUCUUAGGUUAGAUUGUGUCUGUGAACUUCUGUUUUGUUCCAGCCAUGUUUUGCUUUCUCUCUCUUCUUCUGCCAAAGCAAUCAGCAUCAUUUGGUCCACCUGCAUCAUGUCAAUCAGUAUCCUUGCACCACCUGUGUCAUGCCUCAUAUAUACUCAUUUGUUUGUUUCUUGCUGGUUUAUUCAUCUCUGCUGCUCUGUUUUUGUCAACUGUUUUUGUCUAGCCAAGUCAGUUUCAUGGUAAAACCUUAAUGUUUUUGCUCUAUGAUUUUCACCUGUAGGUUUUUUAAAUUUGUCAAACCUUCUUAUUUUCACCUAUCUGCUCCUGCCUGUCUGCAUUUGGGUUCUCUCAAAGAGCCGUUCCUGACAAAAACUUUCAAUGUAAUUUUAUUUGAAGAGUUUGUAACAAGAUUUUGUUUCUACAGAGUGAAUGUCUGAUUGUAAGAAAACCCAGCAAAAUACUUGAAUCUGCUUGGACUCCAAUAAUGGAAUACCUCACUUAGUGGUGUAGAAGGUAUGGGCUUUGCCACCACGGCAUUGGGGGCUGAGGAGUGUGGUGAUGCUGGCACCAGGGCGGUGCUCUUCAUGAGUGGACUGAGCAUUUGGGUGGUGCCCUGGGGUGGCAGUGAGUCUAGCGUGGAGGUGUCGUGGUGGUGUGAAAUGCCUAGACAGGAAUCAUGGAAAAAAAGAACAAGUUUUUAAUCCUGAGUGCUGUGGUCUCUCAUCUUCUGUCUUCUCACAAGAUCACAGAAGUUCAC